UCCUGUUGCCCUAAACUCGAACCCCCUUCGACCAAACGAAUAAAAACCGGAGCUUCUUUCUGUUCUCUCCCUUUGGACAGGGCUCGGUGGGGCUGGAGUCCAUAAAACCUGAAGUGACUCCUCCCGAGCGCCCUUGGGCUCUCCUGUCUCUUGGAAGUGGACAGCAGGGCCACAGGUGUGCGCCACCACAGCCACCCGAGCCAGAUUCCCCUCUGCUGAGAAGCCCGGGCUGUGGGCGGCCUCCUCAGCCUGCGUCUGCUGGGCCGGGCCCAGACGUGGACCAGCCCCUCGCUGGAGGAGGGAUGCAGCUCUGCCCUACGAGGGAAGGAGCUGCACACCCCGGAGGAGCCUGUCACCCUCACCCUCCCCGGCCUGGCCACCAGGGGUCGAUUUCUGUCCCCUCGUCGUGCCUGUCCCCGACUCCUCAGAGAAACGGACCCCCCAGCAGGUGGCCCUGCAUCCACCUGUGACACCAGCGAUGUCCACCAGGCCCACGUCCGCCUCCCUCGCUGGCCCGAGACACAGCCGCUGUGCACCAUGGGGCCGCGUGGAUGGGCUGUGUUCCGCGUCUACCCCCAGCCGGGAGCCAAGUGGGUUUUGUGCAGAGACAAUCUGGGGGCAAUUUGAUGAGCAUGCGCUAUAAAUUCUUGCUAAUUUGCCCAGGCUGGGCUUGAACUUGCAACCCUCCUGCCUCAGCUUCCCGGAGUGCUGAGAUUACAGGAUCUCACUAAGUUGUCCAGGCUGACUUCAAACUUGCAAUCCUCCUGCCUCAGCCUCCCGAGCAGCCAUCCUCCGAGCUGGUUUUCGCAGGACCCUCGACCCCUAGUGUGGUCACUCUGUCCCUUCUCCUGUGGCCGCCUCUCAAGACUUCUCUGGGUGACGGCACCCGUAUCUCCCUCCCUCGGCCGCUGUCCCCACCAAGGUCCCGAGGCUGGCCACGUGCGUCCAACCCCCUUUCAUCUCUGCCCUCGCGCUUGUCAGGCACCCACGUGGCAUUGGCACUGUGGCCCUGGGCCCGGCCUUGGGCUCUCUGAGGUCAACACCACGCACAUCUGGACCUUGAGGACAAGUGGCCCGGGUAAGAUGGCCAGGGCAAGCUGGGGCCAAAGGAGGGGGUGGCGUCAGGCCCAGGCCGGCCAAGGCCUCAGCAAAGUGACUCCCCCUUUCCAAGGACCGCCAACAUCACUAGGACCACAGCAAUCCCUAGUGCAAGGAAUCAAUAAAUGUGUAUUAAUUCAGGAGUUGCUACCUGAUGCCUAAUGCAUGAAUUCGCUAACUGAUGACUUCAAGCAUUCACCGAGUACCCGCCUGGUUGUGAGAGAGGAGAGACCAGCGUCUCCCUCCAGGAACCUGCAGACAGAGUGGGUGACUUGCCAUCGAGAGGGCUGGAGCUCAAGUGUACAGCAGACUAAACACUGAAGGAUUUUUCUGAGGAGUGGGCUUUGGGCUGAGACCCGGGAGAGAAGGAGUCAGCCACAGUGGGACCUAGGGUGAGAGUAUUUUAGAAGUGAGAACAGCAAGUGCAAAGGCCCUGGGGCAAGAGAAAGCUGGGGCUGUCUCAGGAGCAGAGAGAAAGUGAGGAUGAAAAAAAAAAAAAAUAAAAAUAAAAAUAAAUAAAUAAAAAAGCGAGGACACUGGGGUGGAGGGGGAGAGGGGCCUUGGAUGGCAGCAGGGGCAGCCACACGAUCCAGAAGCUGCCACCAAGGGGUUCAGUCCUUACCACAGCCCUGGGGACAUCGGCACGAAGACUGGAGUCUCAGGAAGGCCCUGGACUCGGGCGGGAGACCAGAGGUCGGAUUCCCUGGAAGCUGACUCUGCUGACACCCUGGGCCCAGCCACGGGAAGUCAGGGGUUGGCCAGGCCUCCGCGCUGGACUGCAGGUUCGAGCCCAGGCUGGGCAGCUGAGCAACUCAGGGAGAUCCUGUCUUAGAAAAAAAAAGCUGGUGUGCAGCGCAGCGCAAAGGCGCGGGGUUAGAACCACGCCGGGUGGUGCCGGGUGAUAAAGCUGAGGCCCGGAGGGCUCUCGGAUAAGGCGCCCCGCUGGGCGAGUGGGCCGUGGGGGCGAGGCAGCAGUGAUCUGCUCCCGGGCGAGGCCGGCAUGGAGGGCGUGGGCACGGGGGUGGGGGGGAGGUGGAGACCCGGUCCAGGCUUUGGGGUCCGGCUGAGCUAGCCAAGGCCUCCUUGGUGUGAGCAACGAGGGCAGUUGGUCCCGGGGCGGCUCCCGCCCAAACCGGCAGGGGCGUGGCCGGGGCCUGACAUGCCUCCACCCUUCGCCAACCCGCACCAACCCCCACG
rnacentral:lncRNA from 1 species